rnacentral:rRNA from 1 species
UACGUAGGGGGCUAGCGUUGUCCGGAUUUAUUGGGCGUAAAGCGCGUGUAGGCGGCCAGAUAGGUCUGCUGUGAAAACUCGAGGCUCAACCUCGAGCUGUCGGCGGAAACCAUCCGGCUAGAGUCCGGAAGAGGAGAGUGGAAUUCCCGGUGUAGCGGUGAAAUGCGCAGAUAUCCGGAGGAACACCGAAGGCGAAGGCAGUGUCCUGGCGAGUGACUGACGCUGAGGUGCGAAAGCCAGGGGAGCGAACGGG